rnacentral:piRNA from 1 species
GUAUCACUGUUGCGGAUGGUC